rnacentral:rRNA from 1 species
UACGAAGGGGGCUAGCGUUGUUCGGAAUUACUGGGCGUAAAGCGCGCGCAGGUGGUCCUUCAAGUCAGAGGUGAAAGCCCAGGGCUCAACCCUGGAACGGCCUUUGAGACUAGAGGACUUGGGUACGGGAGAGGUGAGUGGAAUUCCGAGUGUAGAGGUUAACUUCGUAGAUAUUCGGAAGAACACCAGUGGCGAAGGCGGCUCACUGGCCCGUUACCCCCACUCAGGCGCGACAGCGUGGGGAGCAAACAGG